GUGAAAAGAACUUUGGAGAGAGAGUUAAAAGCACGUGAAGCCGUUGAAAGGGAAACGCGCUCGGCUAGCAAUGUGCCACGGAGGUUCAGCCAGUUUGCGGGUGGAGCAGGCGAUCGCCGGAUCCGAACGGACCGCGAUAGUCGGCGUCUGCCCGCGAAGUGCGGUGCACUCUUUCGUGGCACGCGUCAGCGUCGGUUCGGGGCCGGCGACAAGGCACGGACGGAAGGUAACUCGGGGCUUGCCCUGAGUGCUAUAGCCACCGUGCUGGGUCGGCCGCGGACCGAGGAGAGAGAGGAUCGCUGCAGCGCAUGCCGUAAGGCUAGCUGCCCGCCGUCCGGCUUGCUCCACGGGCUGAGGACUGCACGCAGUGUUCGGCUUGGCGGGGUGGUCUGGCGGUGGAGCGGUAUAAAUGCGCUUAGGACGCUGGCGUCCAAAUGGCCGUGCGCGACCCGUCUUGUAACACGGAA
rnacentral:rRNA from 1 species